GACGAACGCUGGCGGCGUGCUUAACACAUGCAAGUCGAACGGGUCUGCCCUGUUUUUUGCGGGGUGGGUCAGUGGCGAACGGGUGAGUAACACGUGAGUAACCUGCCCCUCACUUCUGGAUAACCGCUUGAAAGGGUGGCUAAUACGGGGUGUUCUGGCUGUGCCGCAUGGUGUGGCUGGGAAAGAUUCACUUUUGUGGUGUUUUGGUGGGGGAUGGGCUCGCGGCCUAUCAGCCUGUUGGUGGGGUGAUGGCCUGCCAAGGCUUUGACGGGUAGCCGGCCUGAGAGGGUGGGCGGUCACACUGGGACUGAGAUACGGCCCAGACUCCUGCGGGAGGCAGCAGUGGGGGGUAUUGCACAAUGGGCGGAAGCCUGAUGCAGCGACGUCGCGUGAGGGAUGGAGGCCUGCGGGUUGUGAACCUCUUUCGCCGGUGAAGAAGGUCCUGCUCUUUGUGGUGGGGUUGACGGUAGCCGGGUUAUGAAGCGCCGGCUAACUACGUG
rnacentral:rRNA from 1 species